UACGAAGGGUGCAAGCGUUACUCGGAAUUACUGGGCGUAAAGCGUGCGUAGGCGGUUUGUUAAGUCCGUUGUGAAAGCCCUGGGCUCAACCUGGGAAUUGCAGUGGAUACUGGCGAGCUAGAGUGCGGUAGAGGAUGGUGGAAUUCCCGGUGUAGCGGUGAAAUGCGUAGAGAUCGGGAGGAACACCCGUGGCGAAGGCGGCCAUCUGGACCAGCACUGAAGCUGAGGCACGAAAGCGUGGGGAGCAAACAGG
rnacentral:rRNA from 1 species